GGAGGAGGAGUGACUGGGAUGUGUCGUAUCGGUGGGUCAGUAGUGUGGACGAGGAGACGAGGUGAGGAGGUGUUGUGACGCUCCUCUCCCCUCCACUUCGAGAUAAGGAGGAAGAGGAGGAGGAGGAGGAGGAGGAAGACGAAAAGGAGAAGGAAAAGAAGGAUGUUGCGUUAAAAAGACGAGGAAUGUUCUGUAUCUUUUUUUUUUCGGUGUUAAAUAUUUUCCAGUGCUUUUUUUUUUUUUUUGCGUGUGUCAUUCAGGUGAAAAAAAAAACGAGAAGAAAAAGUUGUACAGUGCCGUAGUGGUGAUUUUGGUGGUGGUGCCAGAAGAGUAUAGUGCCCCGGUGUGUGUGUGUGUGUGUGUGUGUGUGUGUGUGUGUGUGUGUGUGUGUGUGUGUGUGUGUGUGUUAUAUUUUGCUCUCCUUGUCGUCCCCGGAUUCUUCUCGGAAAAGAAUUUGCCUUAACCUUAGACACACCACGCAUAAUAGUAGUAGUAAUAGUAGUAGCAGUAGUAGUAGUAGUAAUAGUAGUAGCAGUAGUAGUAGUAGUAAUAGUAGUAGCAGUAGUACCAUCAUCAUCAUCAGCAUAACAUUCCCACACGUCCCAAAAUCAAGGUCAUCGUCUGUGGUAAAUGGCAUGACAAGCGGAGUGCAGUGACAAGUGUGCGUCGGGGUGGCAGUUACGGGUGUGUGACAGGUGUGCGGGAGGGAGAGGGUGGACAGGUGUGUGGGUGGGUGUGGCCGCCUAGAGAAGAAGAAAUAAACAGGUGUACAGGGUGGCAUGUGGGUGUGUCUUGGUGGCGUGCAAGGUUAAUGUGUGUGUGUGUGUGUGUGUGUGUGUGUGUGUGUGGAGUGUGUAGCAGUGGAAUGUGGUGUAUUCUGUUAUGUAAUGUGGAGGGAAAUGCGGGGAAGGUGGACUGGUGGAAUGUAGAGUGUUUAGCGAUGAUGAAUGUGAGCUAAUGGUAUGUUUUAGUGAUUUAAUUAUAGUUCAAAACGUGGAAGGUGAUGUUUAUUGUUAUGUAAUGUGGAUGGAAAGGAACUAGUGGAAGGGUUGACAGGUGGAAUGCAUAGUGUGAUCCGACGAUAAAUGUGGAGUUAGGAGUUUAUUCUCGUGAUUUAGUUUGAGAGGAAGAAGGAAGAGAGAGGAAUGAAAAGGAAAUUAAAAAAAUGACCCUAUGGAAAAACUGUCACUACUACCGCUAGCUAAAUUUGGGCCGUAUUCUUAAACAUUUCGUCGGCCAAACACAGACAUUUGACAAGGCUUUCAUAGGUGUUUGGGGGAUUUCCAGGGAUAGUUUAAUGACCCUGGUGGUAGUUUAACUUUCUUUUCAUUUCGUCGGCCAAGCACACAAAUUUGACAAGGCUUUCAUAGGUGUUUGGGGGAUUUCCAGGGGUAGUUUAAUGACCCUGGUGGUAGUUUGACGCUUUCUAUUCAUUUCGUUGGCCAAACACAGACAUUUGACAAGGCUUUCGUAGGUGUUUUGGGGGAUUUCCAGGGGUAGUUUAAUGACCCUGGUGGUAGUUUGACGCUUUCUUUUCAUUUCGUCGGCCAAGCACACAAAUUUGACAAGGCUUUCGUAGGUGUUUGGGGGAUUUCCAGGGAUAGUUUAAUGACCCUGGUGGUAGUUUAACUUUCUUUUCAUUUCGUCGGCCAAGCACACAAAUUUGACAAGGCUUUCGUAGGUGUUUGGGGCAUUUCCAGGGGUAGUUUAAUGACCGUGGUGGUAGUUUAACUUUCUUUUCAUUUCGUCGGCCAAGCACACAAAUUUGACAAGGCUUUCGUAGGUGUUUGGGGCAUUUCCAGGGAUAGUUUAAUGACCCUGGUGGUAGUUUAACUUUCUUUUCAUUUCGUCGGCCAAGCACAGACAUUUGACAAGGCUUUCAUAGGUGUUUUGGGGCAUUUCCAGGGGUAGUUUAAUGACCCUGGUGGUAGUUUGACGCUUUCUAUUCAUUUCGUUGGCCAAGCACACAAAUUUGACAAGGCUUUCAUAGGUGUUUUGGGGCAUUUCCAGGGGUAGUUUAAUGAUCCUGGUGGUAGUUUAACUUUCUUUUCAUUUCGUCGGCCAAGCACACAAAUUUGACAAGGCUUUCGUAGGUGUUUUGAGGCAUUUCCAGGGGUAGUUUAUUGACCUUGGUGGUGGUUUAACUCUUUCUCUGUACCAUGAACGUAAACAAAACACUCAUGAAAACUCGAUUAAUCUCCUUUUGGCCUUUCUAAAUAAUUCAUGUGAGAUGUGAGAGCGUCUAAAAAUACUGACCUUUGUGAUUUAGUUAUGAUAUGUGGAACGCUGUGGAGGAGGGCUGUGAUGUGGAGAGGGUGGAGUGAUCUUAUGGUAUCUGUUGUGUAAUGUGGAGCGGACUGAUGACUGGACAGGAUG